CGCAGCCGCGGUAAUUCCAGCUCCAAUAGCGUAUAUUAAAGUUGUUGCAGUUAAAAGCUCGUAGUUGAAUUUCGGGAUCAAUUUGCUGGUCGUGCCUCUGGUACGUACUGGUAUUAUUGGUUUCUCCCUUCUGACGAACCAUGAUGUCAUUAAUUUGAUGUCGUGGAGAAUCAGGACUGUUACUUUGAAAAAUUGAGUGUUUAAAGCAGGCAUUAGCUUGAAUACAUUAGCAUGGAAUAAUGAAAUGGA
rnacentral:misc_RNA from 1 species